rnacentral:snRNA from 1 species
AUACUUACCUGGCAGGGGCGAUGCCAUGAUCAUGAAUGUGGUCUUCCCUGAGUGAGGUUUAUGCUCCAGAUGGCCUGACUUGCAAUUUCCUCAGAUGCAGGAAACGUGACAAUUUAAUAUGUGAUAUGGAGGACUGUACUUUCCCCU